CGCUGGCUGCCGCUAACAGCCGCUCAAUGUAGCCUGGGGAGAAUCUCCAAGAGGGAGCAAACGGGUGGCAAGCAAACCCGCGAGAAGAAGUCGGGAGUUGGCCAGAUGCCUCUGUCAUCUUCAGGAUCAUCAGUGCAAACUCUACAGUGGGAGAAAGACCUGGGUUAUUUGAAGAUAAAAAUGCAUUCUUUCCUGAGCAUCUCUGAAAAAGUGCGAGUUAUAAAUAUAGUAAGUACCAAACGUUGUUAUGGCAAGCCGUUUGAUAUUUAUUUUUAUGAUUUCUGUCAGUUGCUGCAUAAACUACAGUGAGAUUUUGUUUUGUUUCUGAUGGCAUUUCAGUCUGUAAGAUAUGUACAUAUGUAUGUAUUAGUAAAAACCAGUAUCAUUUAAAGUAUACUUUUUAAAACU